rnacentral:rRNA from 1 species
CCUACGGGAGGCAGCAGUAAGGAAUAUUGGUCAAUGGAGGCAACUCUGAACCAGCCAUGCCGCGUGCAGGAUGACGGCCCUAUGGGUUGUAAACUGCUUUUGUACCAGAGAAAACCUACUCACGUGUGAGUAGCUGAUAGUAUGGUAAGAAUAAGCAUCGGCUAACUUCGUGCCAGCAGCCGCGGUAAGACGAAGGAUGCAAGCGUUAUCCGGAUUCAUUGGGUUUAAAGGGUGCGUAGGCGGACUUGUAAGUCAGUGGUGAAAUCUCUUCGCUUAACGAAGAAACUGCCAUUGAUACUGCAGGUCUAGAGUAUAGAUGACGUUGGCGGAAUAUGACAUGUAGUGGUGAAAUACUUAGAUAUGUCAUAGAACACCGAUUGCGAAGGCAGCUAACGAAACUAUAACUGACGCUGAGGCACGAAAGUNCGGGGAUCAAACAGGAUUAGAUACCCUGGUAGUCCGCACCGUAAACGAUGAUUACUCGUUGUUGGCGAUAUGACAGUCAGCGACCGAACGACGAACGACGAGUAAGUAAAGUACCACCCGUACGGGAGGUACGGCCGGCCGACCGGUACGGAACGUACGAAAGAAGUUAAGUUAGACGGCGAGGAGAGCGACGGACGACGACGACGGAGGGAGGAG